GAUGAACGCUGGCGGCGUGCCUAAUACAUGCAAGUCGAGCGAACAGAUGAGGAGCUUGCUCCUCUGACGUUAGCGGCGGACGGGUGAGUAACACGUGGAUAACCUACCUAUAAGACUGGGAUAACUUCGGGAAACCGGAGCUAAUACCGGAUAAUAUAUUGAACCGCAUGGUUCAAUAGUGAAAGACGGUUUUGCUGUCACUUAUAGAUGGAUCCGCGCCGCAUUAGCUAGUUGGUAAGGUAACGGCUUACCAAGGCAACGAUGCGUAGCCGACCUGAGAGGGUGAUCGGCCACACUGGAACUGAGACACGGUCCAGACUCCUACGGGAGGCAGCAGUAGGGAAUCUUCCGCAAUGGGCGAAAGCUUGACGGAGCAACGCCGCGUGAGUGAUGAAGGUCUUCGGAUCGUAAAACUCUGUUAUUAGGGAAGAACAAAUGUGUAAGUAACUAUGCACGUCUUGACGGGACCUAAUCAGAAAGCCACGGCUAACUACG
rnacentral:rRNA from 1 species